rnacentral:RNase_P_RNA from 1 species
CUUGUGAGACGGAUAAUCGCGAUUUUAUCGAGGAAAGUCCGGACUCCGUAGAGCAGAGAGCUGGGUAACUCCCAGGCAAGAAAUUGACGGAAAGUGCAACAGAAAACAAACCGCUUAUAUACAUAAGUAAGGAUGAAAAGGUGGUGUAAGAGACCACCAGUAAUUUAAGUGAUUAAAUUAGCUUGUAAACCCCUCUCGGAGCAAUACCAAGAAGNAAUUAGCUUGCUCGGCUAAAUAUUGCGGGUAGGUAGCUAGAUAUAUUUGGUAACAAAUAUACAAGAUGGAUGAUUAUCUUACACAGUGUGUAAACAGAAUCCGGCUUAUAGUCUCAUGAAAACU